GCAAGUCGAGCGCACCUUCGGGUGAGCGGCGGACGGGUUAGUAACGCGUGGGAAUAUACCCUCCUCUACGGAAUAGCCUCGGGAAACUGAGAGUAAUACCGUAUACGCCCUUCGGGGUAAAGAUUUAUCGGAGGAGGAUUAGCCCGCGUAAGAUUAGAUAGUUGGUGGGGUAACGGCCUACCAAGUCUACGAUCUAUAGCUGGUUUUAGAGGACGAUC
rnacentral:rRNA from 1 species